rnacentral:rRNA from 1 species
UACGUAGGGGGCAAGCGUUGUCCGGAAUCAUUGGGCGUAAAGAGCGUGUAGGCGGCCAGAUAAGUCCGCUGUGAAAUCUCGAGGCUCAACUUCGAGCUGUCGGUGGAAACUGUCUGGCUAGAGUCCGGAAGAGGAGAAUGGAAUUCCUGGUGUAGCGGUGAAAUGCGCAGAUAUCAGGAAGAACACCCGUGGCGAAGGCGGUUCUCUGGGACGGUACUGACGCUGAGACGCGAAAGCCAGGGGAGCAAACGGG